UAGUGGUUAGGGAUUGGGGGAGCUUGUGACAUCACAGGAGGGGGUUGUGUCAUCAGUUCUCGUCAGGAGGUAAUAUCAGGCUACUCUCUUGGCAGGAAGAGUCAUCAUGGGAAGAAGGCUGUCCUUUAGUAGGAAAAGCCAUAUUUUUAGACAGCAUCUCUCUAACCAGGCUAUAGUCCGGCUAGCAAGAAGGCAGGAGAUAUCGAAGGAAAAUUCACAGGUUACAGAGUUGAAACAACUGCAGUUCAGAGCCCGACCAGGCAUCUGCCCACCAUGUGAUCUGGGUCUAGCUCUUCCAUCUCUUGAAGCCGAUUUGCUCAUCUCUCCCCAAAUUCCAUGGUGAAAGAGGAGGAAGCGGAGACAGCUUUCAUUGUUGGGUAAGGUUGUCCUUGGGGGAAUUGAACACCAGGAUCUUCUGAGAUGCUGCUUGAGCAAGCCCUGAGAGCAUGUCUCAGAGCAGCUAGAAAAAGAAAAGAAAUGAAAAAGGAAGAGCCUCAGAUGGUUGAUGUGGCAAGGGGGCACUUGCUGGAACUGCCUGCUGUUGGUGUGAGGCAACUCAGAAGUGAAUCAGAGCCCUGGAAGCAGAGGAGUGUGAGUCCACUUGACAAAGCCAGGCCAGGAGGAGCAAAAAGGUGGCUGAGAGACUGUGCACCCCACACAAGGUCCUCUGUCUCGAUGUCUCAUCGGUAAUUCAGCAAUGUCCACAUUUCCUAUGUCAGAGAGUUGUCGUGUGUGUUAAAUGUUUAUAAAUACUCAGCACAGAGCUGGAAAUGUGGUAAGUGCUCGAUCCAUGCUUUUUAUCCUUUAUGAUUGAGAGUGGAGUGGUCUUGAAAGUAGAAAGGGGUGAGGAGAUGAUCAAGGAGCCCAGAUCACCUUGCAAUCUGGUGGCAGGAAAGGGAAUCUGGUAUCUGAUGAUGAAUGACACUGAAUAACGAGAGGAGCUGUGCCUCGAAUCAUCUGAAAUUCCAGCAGACUGGCUGACCCCUGCUGAAGCUUCUUGGUAGCUCCGGAACACUCAUUCCACUGAAUCACGGCAUUCAUUAUUUAUUUUCUUUCCUCUUCCUUAUUUAUUAUGUAUUCAUUUUGCUGACAUCUGUCUGUGUCUGUCUUUUCUUUAGUUAUAUGAAUCUCUGCUGUAAGCGUGGGAAAUCUAGCCAUUCAAUCCCUUAGGUUUACCCUUUCGCCCCUUGAACAUAUCACAGCAUUUGGCUUUUGGUUCUUCCUCCUGCAGUUCUCUCUCUGAUGUUUUUGGAUGUCAGCAACGGAAUUUGUCUACACAUUUAGCCGGCCAAUGUGCAGAUCCUGUGAUCUGAGAGAAUAGCA